GCAAGUCGAACGAGAAAGGGAUUGCUUGCAAUCCUGAGUAGAGUGGCGCACGGGUGAGUAACACGUAGAUAAUCUACCUUCAAGCCUGGGAUAACUAUUCGAAAGGAUAGCUAAUACCGGAUGAAGUUGCCAAGCAUAAGUUUGGUUAUGAAAGAUUGCCUCUUCUUGAAAGCAAUUGUUUGGAGAUGAGUCUGCGGACCAUUAGUUUGUUGGUGGGGUAACGGCCUACCAAGACUGCGAUGGUUAGCUGGUCUGAGAGGAUGAUC
rnacentral:rRNA from 1 species